AUGUAUAUAUAAUAUUACUCAAAUCAUUGAAAAUCUCUAGCUUUAACACAAGGGUUGAAAUGUGAAAGGUAAUGUGUCCAUUUUACAAUGUAUUGUUUAUUUGGCACACGCAACACCUUAACUAUAUGUUUCAGGUUUUACACAAUCAUUCGGAGUCUUCCUGAUGUUCCAUAGCAUCCUGUCCUUCUAGCUCUGGAAUUUCGUAACUAUUUAGAACCUUGUCAAAUAAAAACUGCCUUUUGAGUAUACCGUAUUUCAAAGCUUCCUCCUUGUCGUACCCAUCUGUAUCAAUCAACCUAUUCACUGUCUUUUUAAUAGAUUUAUAAAUAGGAUCUUUUUUCAUUGCUUCAAAACCACACCACUUUACUACCAAAACUGUUCAUUAGUGCUUUCCUGUAGGUGCAUUUCAUGUUCCUGAAAGUCCUUUUCUUGGCUUCACUCAGACUGAUGUCGGUAUCAUCCUCCAUAAGCUCAUUUACCAUAGAGUCAUACUGCGACUGGCACUUUUGAAACGCUUCAUCUACAAUGUUGUCCCAAGGAUCGGUCAUCAAAGACUUCUCUGAGGUGGCAGAUGCGUCAUCUUCAAUGUCGCUAUGACUGGACUCAUUGUCUUCUAUGGGUCCAAAAAUAUCCUCUUCCAUCUAUAACACAUAUUUAAAAUUUUCCCUGGUUAAAAAACACACCCUAUAAUUAACUAGGUCAGCCUGUACAUGUGAAUUAAAGUGUUAGCAUAAAAUUGAUAAUUUGGAUACAAGAAUCUGGAUAUUCAUAGUUAAGUGUCUGUAGGGGAUUUAAAAGAUGAAAUGCCUUGUGGUUUUCUGAAAGAAUGUUUUCUCGGUUGGAAAUUGAAGUAUUCAUUAGAUACCGAAUUGUAAUCAAAGCACAGAAGGCGCUGAAUUUGUUUGGGUCUCAGAAUGUCAGAAAGGUGAAGGUUGUGAGAUUAUAAACCAACUUGUUUUUGUAUAGUGCCACCAAUGCUUUCAAGCGUUUUCAUUGUAGUAAAUCGGCUAUAAGACUAAUUGCAACACUGAUAUUCAAUCCAAUGUUUAUUUGACUUAAACAAUGUGGAAAUACAAAAUGAAAUGCCUUAACAGGGAUUUGAACUCCAGACCUCUCGCUUCCUAAGCGAGCGCGCUAACCCCUCGGCCACGGUGAAGUUAUAUAUUCACUGCUUGAAGAAAACCAUAUUAUUCUAAAUUAGGGUUUGUAAUCCUGAUUAUUUCGACGCUAACUGUUGUUUAACACAGAUGAAAAUAAUCAGGGAGCUUACUAUAAGCAUGUAUAUCUAUAAAGAAUAAAACAAUAUUAGAAAUCUUCGACCAUUCGGGAACUAUUUUGCUUAAAAAUUAAUGCGCCUGUCAUUUGACCAUUUUUACGCAGUGAUCUCCCCUGAAUUUUUCGGCGUUAGUGUACAUAUAAAAAGAAGUAACCACUUCAAAAAAGCGGACUACUUUCGGCAUUUGAAAUUAACAGCAUCAGACUCUGAAAUUUCGCUACCAUUAUUUGUUUGGUCUGACGACCCAAACAAAUAAAAACGAAAUUGCCUACGUGUAAAUAUUUUACAAGUUGGGAUCGGUGCUAACUUAUUUAAAAUUUACAAGUUGGGACUGGUGUAUAACAUAAAGCAUUGUAUUUUUCUUAUAAAAGAAUGACUAUGAUGAUUUUUUUCAAGUUUAAAUAAUUUUUUUUCUGUGAAAUGUUGAUGCAAAUAAAUUCAUGUUUGGAAUAUAAGUUCAUGCUAUAUAGUUUCUCCGCGAAUUUAUUAUGAAAAUAAAUUCAUAUCUGGAAUAUAUAAUUAAACGCAAUAUGGAAUUAUUACAACUGCAUCACAGACAAAGAUAAAAAAAAAGUGGUUUGUGGAAUUAAUAUAAUCCUACAAAAGAUAAAUGGUGGACCAUUUUAUUCUGGAAGAAUGAAGUAGUCAUCAACAACGUUGAAGAGGUGAAACUGAGGGACAUUCCACAAGGAGAAUAUGUUCACAUUUAAAGAUGUUCAAACGUGAUGUUUUAUACAGUGAAUAUACAGCGAACUUUUGUCUUUACUAUAAUAACUGAAAUAUUUAAUGCUGACAUUUUGUAAUAAAAUUUUAUAUUGGAUAAUGUACUGUUUUACUGUGCUAUUUACCUUAUUUUAAAGGAAGUAGACUUGUGGUUUUAGCGGGUGCCUCUUUAUAAAAAACAUUACCCUUUCUUUUUGCCUAUUCUGAGGUUAUACUAAAUCGUCGCCACGGAAUAAUACAAAAUACUUUAUUUGAGUUAGUAAAAUACUUAUACCUUUCACCGUGAUCAAUAAGAAGACUUUACAUAACCGUAUGAACACGAAACUGUUAAUUAAGUAGUUGUUGAAGUGUAAAAGCAAAAAUGUAGUACAAUGUGCGUUGUGGCGUGUAAUGUAAACGAAUAUUAAACUUUUACGUGAUGGGGAAUUAGGUGGAACUUUUAAGAACUUUUACGAUUACGUCUCUUUGCGUUUCGCAUAUUACUUUUCUUCCAAAUGUAUAUAAUAGCUGAAUAAGGCUAAUUGAAAGGCUAGUGUGUACAAUUUCAGCAUUGCUGCAUGUUAUCAUGCAUGAUGCACUGUAUGUAUUUCUAUUAUUAGCUUAUCAUUAUAAAAAAUAAUUUCGCUGAAAGUUAGUAAAAUAUCUUAAAGGGUGAUUUAAAUGUAAAUGAGGAUCAGAAAUCCUCGUGUUUUUAAAAUACAACAAAGCUGAGAAUUUAUUCGCUACUGUUUCAUUUCAAAGGUUAGCUGGAAAUUCUAAUAAUAGCAAUAGUAAAUUAAUUCAUUCUCGAUCAAACCCGAAAAUUCUCUCCCUACCUAAGGUGGCCACUUUAUAUAGAAUACAAAAGUGGUACACGUGCGUACGUCCUUAUUGUUCAAACGCCUGUUUCGAAACUUUCUUAUUUAUAACGUGGAAGCACUUGAAUAGGUAGAUCAAAUGAGAAAUGAAAGUUAAGUACUCAUUUGAGUAAUUCUGUGUUUGGGGUUCACAGAUAUUAAUAACGUCCCCCGCAUUUCUCAUUUC